rnacentral:rRNA from 1 species
GGGCGCAGCCUGAUGCAGCCUGCCGCGUGUGUGAAGAAGGCCUUCGGGUUGUAAAGCACUUUCAGUCGUGAGGAAGGUAGUGUAGUUAAUAGCUGCAUUAUUUGACGUUAGCGACAGAAGAAGCACCGGCUAACUCCGUGCCAGCAGCCGCGGUAAUACGGAGGGUGCGAGCGUUAAUCGGAAUUACUGGGCGUAAAGCGCAUGCAGGUGGUUUGUUAAGUCAGAUGUGAAAGCCCGGGGCUCAACCUCGGAAUUGCAUUUGAAACUGGCAGACUAGAGUACUGUAGAGGGGGGUAGAAUUUCAGGUGUAGCGGUGAAAUGCGUAGAGAUCUGAAGGAAUACCGGUGGCGAAGGCGGCCCCCUGGACAGAUACUUGACACUCAGAUGCGAAAGCGUGGGGAGCAAACAGGAUUAGAUACCCUGGUAGUCCACGCCGUAAACGAUGUCUACUUGGAGGUUGUGGCCUUGAGCCGUGGCUUUCGGAGCUAACGCGUUAAGUAGACCGCCUGGGGAGUACGGUCGCAAGAUUAAAACUCAAAUGAAUUGACGGGGGCCCGCACAAGCGGUGGAGCAUGUGGUUUAAUUCGAUGCAACGCGAAGAACCUUACCUACUCUUGACAUCCAGAGAACUUUCCAGAGAGGAUUGGUGCC